CAGCCUGAUGCAGCCAUGCCGCGUGUGUGAAGAAGGCCUUCGGGUUGUAAAGCACUUUCAGUCAGGAGGAAAGGUUAGUAGUUAAUACGCUGCUAGCUGUGACGUUACUGACAGAAGAAGCACCGGCUAACUCCGUGCCAGCAGCCGCGGUAAUACGGAGGGUGCGAGCGUUAAUCGGAAUUACUGGGCGUAAAGCGUACGCAGGCGGUUUGUUAAGCGAGAUGUGAAAGCCCCGGGCUCAACCUGGGAACUGCAUUUCGAACUGGCAAACUAGAGUGUGAUAGAGGGUGGUAGAAUUUCAGGUGUAGCGGUGAAAUGCGUAGAGAUCUGAAGGAAUACCGAUGGCGAAGGCAGCCACCUGGGUCAACACUGACGCUCAUGUACGAAAGCGUGGGGAGCAAACAGGAUUAGAUACCCUGGUAGUCCACGCCGUAAACGAUGUCUACUAGAAGCUCGGAGCCUCGGCUCUGUUUUUCAAAGCUAACGCAUUAAGUAGACCGCCUGGGGAGUACGGCCGCAAGGUUAAAACUCA
rnacentral:rRNA from 1 species